GCUCGGAGCCACCUUUUUCUCCUCGUGCCCGUCCCAUUUCGCUGCCUUCGCUCGCACCGCCGCACCACCGCCUCCCCUGGAUGGCCCCCGCUGCCUUCCGCGAGCCGUCGCGGCCCUCCGGCAGAGGGCCGCCGGACCCGUCUCGUCCCGCGCCACCGGGCCCCGGAUGGAGCGGACUCUCUCCACGGGGAAGCGCCUGCGCCGCGGGCCCAAGGAGGUCUGCAGGUACAAUCCCAAGAAGACUGACGCUGUCAUCGAGGAAUUGAAGAAAAAUACCCAGGCAGCUAAUGACGAGAGGGAGGAGCUCGUAAAGGCAAUCAAAAAUCUUGAGGCAAAGCAAACCAACCCUUGGUUUAACUCUACAAUAAAAGGACGUCUACUGGACUGGCCAGGCCUGAUCGCGCUGACGCUGGCGGCUGGAGAGAUGGUGAGGAAAAUUUGGGGUUGAGCUUCCACGUAAGGCUAUAGGUAAAUGAAGAACGAAGACUAUUUUGCUUCUCAGUAGGAUGUACGUAACUGAAGAUGGAAGACUUUUGCUGCAACGAGUAGUGAAUGAUGUGGCUAUACAGAAACACGAACUGGACAGACAGACAGACAUACAUCACUAGUAUCUGGUGUCGAAAACGGGAAAUGCAGUUAACUGUGUUCAUGGUUGAACGUUUUGGCCUGUGACGUGUAGGAUGAUGAUGUGCGAGUCCAGAUGGAGGCAUCAUGGAUUGCGUGCACAUAUCACAACAACCUGCCUUCGAUCAUCGUCCCCUCAAGAAACAUACUCUCCAGAUGAGACAGUCCUACCACCCGGAAGGCUUGUAUGAUGAUGCUAAGAGCAGCCUGGCCUCCGACAAUGACGGAAAGAAGUAGAUGCUCUGGCAUCAGAGUAGGAGAUGCCAGUAGGGCACUGUCCUAACCAGGAGGACUGUCCAUGCGGCAGUACAGUAGAAAAAAACGGCCUGCCCUGAACCCGAUGUCCAUUGGCCAUAGCAUGCUCGAUGAGGGCAGGGGCAGCCACCAAGUAAUCCCGCUUUAUCCUGUUUGAGGUUGAAGACCGCGAAAAUGGUGUUUGCCAUGUGGUACUGUUAUUGUGAAAUUCAGCAUGCGAUGCAGUACGUCUGAGCAGGGGAAAGUACUAUGGUGCGAAGGCCACCAUUGUUUGGGAGCCUAAAAUCGAGCAGCCUAUCAAGUGCAAUCUAUCCCAGCUAUGGAGGUCAUGUGGUGCGGAUCUCAACAACAUCAAGGCCGAAUGGCAGGUACUGUGAAGAAGAACCUAAACUAAUUAGCUUCAUUUAGUUCAUUGGUUCAUCCUUGGUCCUGAGUUAUUCUGCGGAUACCAGUGGAGGUAUGUUCAUUCUUGUUAUUUUUACCUUCUUCGUCUAAUAGGUCAGACAUUUUAUUUCUGACAAGUCUUUUGUUUCUGCUCAUCAUAUGUGUGUCUUCAAUAUCAUGUUCCAUGCCCAUUGUUGGCCUUGUUCUGUGAGAAGAGAAUCUUCUCACCGAUUUGGACCGGCCCUCGAAGCUCAGCGUUGGUUACUUUGGGGCUGAUCAGCUGAGAAGACGGCAGUCAUUACAAGGAUGUGUGGUGCAGAUGAUACACAUUGUGGCUACUUCAGGCUACAAUGGAAGUGUGCAGUGGCGAAUCUUGGAAGAAAAUGAAAGGGUGGCUCAAAGCUAACAGUGAGUAGAAAAAGUAAAAAACUCUCAAUCCUUUAGUCCAAAUACGGUCAAAAUAUUGAUACGAAUACUAGUAAUUUUCCUUUUCCAGUUUUUGGAGGCGGGGCUCGAGCCUGUCAAAGCCCCCCUGUCAAGCGUGGAUUGUAGCUUUGCAGUGCUAAUUUACUCAAGGAAGCUUUGGUAUGCUGUUUGGCCGAACGGUCGUAUUUGUUAGGUAAUAUGUUCACAACAUUUGCGUUUGUCUGCUUGCGCCUUGCUUGACUCUCAUUGA